UCGGGAAUUUUGGGCAAUGGGCGAAAGCCUGAUCCAGCCAUGCCGCGUGAGUGAUGAAGGCCUUAGGGUUGUAAAACUCUUUCGCCGGGGAAGAUAAUGACGGUACCCGGAGAAGAAGCUCCGGCUAACUUCGUGCCAGCAGCCGCGGUAAUACGAAGGGAGCUAGCGUUGUUCGGAAUUACUGGGCGUAAAGCGCACGUAGGCGGGCUAUUAAGUCAGGGGUGAAAUCCCGAGGCUCAACCUCGGAACUGCCUUUGAUACUGGAUGGCUUGAGUUUGGGAGAGGGACGCGGAAUUCCAGGUGUAGCGGUGAAAUGCGUAGAUAUCUGGAGGAACACCGGUGGCGAAGGCGGCGUCCUGGACCAAUACUGACACUGAGGAGCGAAAGCCAGGGGAGCAAACGGGAUUAGAUACCCAUGUAGUCCCUGAGCGGGCUGGCAAGGCGCAU
rnacentral:rRNA from 1 species